UACAGAGGUGGCAAGCGUUGUUCGGAAUUACUGGGCGUAAAGGGCGCGUAGGCGGUUGGUCAAGUCAGGGGUGAAAUCCUGGAGCUCAACUCCAGAACUGCCUUUGAUACUGGCGAUCUUGAGUCCGGGAGAGGUGAGUGGAACUGCGAGUGUAGAGGUGAAAUUCGUAGAUAUUCGCAAGAACACCAGUGGCGAAGGCGGCUCACUGGCCCGGUACUGACGCUGAGGUGCGAAAGCGUGGGGAGCAAACAGGG
rnacentral:rRNA from 1 species